rnacentral:rRNA from 1 species
AACGAACGCUGGCGGCAGGCCUAACACAUGCAAGUCGAACGCUCAAGCAAUAGAGAGUGGCAGACGGGUGAGUAACGCGUGGGAAACUUCCUAGGGGUACGGAAUAGCUCAGGGAAACUUGGGGUAAUACCGUAUGAUGCCGUAAGGCCAAAGAUUUAUCGCCCUUAGAUGUGCCCGCGUCGGAUUAGCUAGUUGGUGAGGUAAUGGCUCACCAAGGCGACGAUCCGUAGCUGGUUUGAGAGAAUGACCAGCCACGCUGGGACUGAGACACGGCCCAGACUCCUACGGGAGGCAGCAGUGGGGAAUCUUGGACAAUGGGCGCAAGCCUGAUCCAGCCAUGCCGCGUGGGUGACGAAGGCCUUAGGGUUGUAAAGCUCUUUUGCCGGGGACGAUAAUGACGGUACCCGGAGAAUAAGUCCCGGCUAACUUCGUGCCAGCCGCCGCCGUAA